CCUUUCUCUCAUACAACCCCUUCACGUCUCCUUUUUUUCUCCCCCAACCCUAGCCGCCGCAGCCCCUUCUCAUUUCUAUAUAGGACCAUUACCACCUCCGAUUGAAAAACCAAUGCCAUAUCCGUUCUCUUCAUCUCUCAACCUUCCUAAUGAACCGAAUAUAAUUUUGUUUCGGUGAACCUUGUCGUCGACCCAGAUUAUGGAUUGUUGUUUUGAAGGCUUGGUACUCUCUUAUCUCAAAUGGUCAGUAUUUCUAUUUAAUACUUUCUAUCUCUUUGUAUUCUCACCAUGAAAUUCACUUUUUUCUUGUCAGUGUUUACAGGUUUGGGAUGGAUAAGGGUUCUCUUAGGGUUUUGAAGGCUUGGUACUCUCAUAUCUCAAAUGGAAUUUCAAGGGUUGGCAUACUCAACUAUAAAUGAUAUAUAAGCUUGAAAAUAAAGCACAUUUCAAGAGAUAAAGGAGGCUGGUCACUUGGCUCACUUGGAGAGACCAAUAUUUAUAAAAAGAGCCUUAAACAGUUUCUUUCCUCAGUUAUGCUUGGUAAAAGAAAAUAAUGUCAAUGGGGUGUUUUUUUAGUUCUAAGUUGAUAAGUUAUUUGAGUGAGUCUAAUUAUGUCUUUACUUUUUAAGUUAUUGUUGUGAAAGUUUCCAAACAUUGAUAUGAAUGUUUGUAUUAAGUGUAUUCAAGUAAACUCUUACAAACACUUCUUAAUACUAGAAUUAUAUUGAAGCUCUGUUUCAAAAUUAACACUGG